ACUCCUACGGGAGGCAGCAGUGGGGAAUAUUGGACAAUGGGCGCAAGCCUGAUCCAGCCAUGCCGCGUGAGUGAUGAAGGCCCUAGGGUUGUAAAGCUCUUUCACCGGUGAAGAUAAUGACGGUAACCGGAGAAGAAGCCCCGGCUAACUUCGUGCCAGCAGCCGCGGUAAUACGAAGGGGGCUAGCGUUGUUCGGAUUUACUGGGCGUAAAGCGCACGUAGGCGGACUAUUAAGUCAGGGGUGAAAUCCCGGGGCUCAACCCCGGAACUGCCUUUGAUACUGGUAGUCUUGAGUUCGAGAGAGGUGAGUGGAAUUCCGAGUGUAGAGGUGAAAUUCGUAGAUAUUCGGAGGAACACCAGUGGCGAAGGCGGCUCACUGGCUCGAUACUGACGCUGAGGUGCGAAAGCGUGGGGAGCAAACAGGAUUAGAAACCCGUGUAGUCCC
rnacentral:rRNA from 1 species